rnacentral:rRNA from 1 species
UACGUAUGGGGCAAGCGUUAUCCGGAUUCAUUGGGCGUAAAGAGCGCGUAGGCGGCUUGUUAAGUCAGAUGUGAAAACCGGGGGCUCAAUCCGCGGCCUGCAUCUGAAACUGGCAGGCUUGAGUCUGGUAGAGGAAAGUGGAAUUCCCAGUGUAGCGGUGAAAUGCGCAGAUAUUGGGAGGAACACCAGUGGCGAAGGCGGCUUUCUGGGCCACGACUGACGCUGAGGCGCGAAAGCUAGGGGAGCAAACAGG